AAGCCAAAUGAAAGCCCAUUCAAGCAGGCCUGUGACCCUGAAUCUCCCAAAGUGACUAUGCAGAUACAUGGAGGGACUCCUCAGUCUGAUGAAAUUGAACAUCAUUCCACAACAUUCAGUCAAGGUGCCAGAUCCUAUGACGUUGCAUCAGUUAUGCUGCAUGACUACUGUGAGGCUGUGUGUGAAGACGAUAUCAGUUGCAUAAGAUAUGGAUCAUCGCAAACAGAAAUGGUGGAAGUUAGAAGCAUGUCUACUCAAACUGACGAUGUAAUGUUCCAGUGUUUGAAUCCUGUGAAAACAUCCUGUGCAAUGACUCAGACUGAGACUGAAAAUAAAAAAGUCUUUCGCAAU